rnacentral:rRNA from 1 species
UCCUCUGACGUUAGCGGCGGACGGUCUGAGUAACACGUGGAUAACCUACCUAUAAGACUGGGAUAACUUCGGGAAACCGGAGCUAAUACCGGAUAAUAUAUUGAACCGCAUGGUUCAAUAGUGAAAGACGGUUUUGCUGUCACUUAUAGAUGGAUCCGCGCCGCAUUAGCUAGUUGGUAAGGUAACGGCUUACCAAGGCAACGAUGCGUAGCCGACCUGAGAGGGUGAUCGGCCACACUGGAACUGAGACACGGUCCAGACUCCUACGGGAGGCAGCAGUAGGGAAUCUUCCGCAAUGGGCGAAAGCCUGACGGAGCAACGCCGCGUGAGUGAUGAAGGUCUUCGGAUCGUAAAACUCUGUUAUUAGGGAAGAACAAAUGUGUAAGUAACUAUGCACGUCUUGACGGUACCUAAUCAGAAAGCCACGGCUAACUACGUGCCAGCAGCCGCGGUAAUACGUAGGUGGCAAGCGUUAUCCGGAAUUAUUGGGCGUAAAGCGCGCGUAGGCGGUUUUUUUAAGUCUGAUGUGAAAGCCCACGGCUCAACCGUGGAGGGUCAUUGGAAACUGGAAAACUUGAGUGCAGAAGAGGAAAGUGGAAUUCCAUGUGUAGCGGUGAAAUGCGCAGAGAUAUGGAGGAACCACCAGUGGCGAAGGCGACUUUUCUGGUCUGUAACU